UAGGGAAUCUUCGGCAAUGGGGGGAACCCUGACCGAGCAACGCCGCGUGAGUGAAGAAGGUUGUCGGAUCGUAAAGCUCUGUUGUUAAGGAAGAACGAGUGUGAGAAUGGAAAGUUCAUGCUGUGACGGUACUUAACCAGAAAGGGACGGCUAACUACGUGCCAGCAGCCGCGGUAAUACGUAGGUCCCGAGCGUUGUCCGGAUUUAUUGGGCGUAAAGCGAGCGCAGGCGGUUAGAAAAGUCUGAAGUGAAAGGCAGUGGCUCAACCAUUGUAGGCUUUGGAAACUGUUUAACUUGAGUGCAGAAGGGGAGAGUGGAAUUCCAUGUGUAGCGGUGAAAUGCGUCGAUAUAUGGAGGAACACCGGUGGCGAAAGCGGCUCUCUGGUCUGUAACUGACGCUGAGGCUCGAAAGCGUGGGGAGCGAACAGG
rnacentral:rRNA from 1 species